CCUACGGGAGGCAGCAGUAGGGAAUCUUCCGCAAUGGACGAAAGUCUGACGGAGCAACGCCGCGUGAGCGAUGAAGGCCUUCGGGUCGUAAAGCUCUGUUGUCAGGGAAGAACAAGUGCGGGAGUAACUGCCCGCACCUUGACGGUACCUGACCAGAAAGCCACGGCUAACUACGUGCCAGCAGCCGCGGUAAUACGGAGGGGGCAAGCGUUGUACGGAAGUAUUGGGGGUAAAGUGCGCGCAGGCGGGCCCUUAAAGCUGAAGGGAAAGGGCCCGGCUUAACCGGGGAGGGUCAUUGGAAACGGGGGGACUUGAGUGCAGAAGAGAAGAGCGGAAUUCCAUGUGUAGCGGUGAAAUGCGCAGCGAUAUGGAGGAACACCAGUGGCGAAGGCGGCUCUUUGGUCUGUAACUGACGCUGAGGCGCGAAAGCGUGGGGAGCAAACAGGAUUAGAUACCCGAGUAGUC
rnacentral:rRNA from 1 species